rnacentral:rRNA from 1 species
UACGAAGGGGGCUAGCGUUGCUCGGAAUCACUGGGCGUAAAGCGCACGUAGGCGGCUUCUUAAGUCAGGGGUGAAAUCCUGGAGCUCAACUCCAGAACUGCCUUUGAUACUGAGAGCUUGAGUCCGGGAGAGGUGAGUGGAACUGCGAGUGUAGAGGUGAAAUUCGUAGAUAUUCGCAAGAACACCAGUGGCGAAGGCGGCUCACUGGCCCGAUACUGACGCUGAGGUGCGAAAGCGUGGGGAGCAA